rnacentral:sRNA from 1 species
AGUUUCCAGCCGCCGCUCUCCUCAGUGCCCGGUGGCCCAGGAGGGCCUGAGAGCCCGAAGCCGUCCCCGAGUCGCUCCUAGGUCACUGGCGCGAUGCGGGCCGUCCUCUCGGUUGAUGGGUUGGAAGCCCAGCGAGGCUAGAGGCCAGUCCCAAAGUCUCCAGGCAUCAGGGCUGCAGCCCAGGAGCCUCAAGGCGGCCCGGCGGGCGACUGGACGGCCGGACAGGUGAGCUCUUGGUCGUCCGCGGCCUGAUAGUUUGCACUUGGCUCUCCCACCUUGGGGCUCCGUGGAUGCCACGUCAGAGGGGCUGUGUUUGUGUCUGAGCAUGCAUGCGAGUGGAGGGAAGUGGUGAGUAAUGCCGCGUCUCCCCUCUGAGUUCGGAACCCAUGGAGGAAGAAAGCAGAGGUGCCAGACAGGCCUCUGAUAGGCACCUGCAGGAUUGGGGCAGAGCGGCCGCAGCGCAGGAGCGCCGGCAAGCCUGGCCCUUCCCGGGAGGCCCGCUUUGUCCGGUUCCACCCUGGCCUGUUGCCUCACAUGCAACAAGUGUCUGAAUGUGGCUAUCUUCUGGCCGAGGGCAGCCCUGGGCGGUGAGUGGGAUGACACCCCAGCCUGCAGGGUGCCUGUAGGUCUCCACCCAGAUGGGCAGGAUUGGAGGUGGCCGCAGCGCUCUUGGGCUUUCCCUCAGCAGGUGUCUCCAUGCUGGCCUCCCCGCCUCAGGGCUUCAUCCCACUCCGUGGGCCUGAUCUCCCUGGGGCACCUGGGAUGUCCAUCUGCAUUAGCUGGAGCUACUCCAUGGCCUGUGGCAUGCCACACACAGCGGCAUUUCGGUGUCAUUAGGCAUAGCUGGAGGUGCAAGGAGGAGGGCAGCCUCAUGUCCAGUUCCAUGUAACUUGCUUCUUCUGAAUAAAGGCAAUUUGCUAACUUCCUCGCUAAAUAGGAUUUGGUUUCUAUGGCUUUUAAAGCUUCUCCAAUAAAAUACUUGUAAUAAGGGAACUCUCUCCUCCUACACUCUCCUGACUGAUGGUUCGGAAGUCCUCCUGCCCUCUGAGAGCUUGCAGUUUCUUGUGAAAAAGAGAAACUAAGCAGCAAUAGGACAGACCCGGUGUCUGCUUGCGUGGUUAAGACGGUAAAUGCUAAAUGUGUGACGCUGCCUUUAGAAACCAUUUUCUCCAGCCUGGCUUGCUGGCUGCCCGUCUGGUUUGCUGUGUUGUGUCUCCAGUGGCUUUAGCUUCCAACAGGAAAGCCUGGUAGCCGAGCGAAUCUGUGACCCAGGAAGUAGCAAUUAAAUGCCUGGGACGCUGCCUUGAGGCUGGUGUGUGCUCUGAGGUAAGUUCCGAUUUGCCAAAGCACAUCUGUCGAUCUGUCGCCCGAGUCUUCACACCCUGACUGCCUCCAUCAUUUUAAACAUCGGGAGCAGUUACCUGCGGCGGGGUUCAGAUGCCAGCCAGGGGCACAGCCUGUGAACUGUGGGUAGAUGGCAAAGUCUAGCAUUUCUGGCAAAGGAAAAAACAUUUGGUAACUCUCUGAGUAAAUUUCUGACUGAGAUGAAGAUACCCAUUGUGGGGCAGCAUCCUGAAGCGGAAGCCUGGGCUGUAUGUUUCCAAGAGGAGGAGCAGGAGUGGCCACAGCCAUGUACGCCACCAUGUACACCAGGGGCUGCGUGGCCACAGCUCUGGUCUGCUGGUCUGCUCCCUGGAGCCCCUCCACCAGUGCUGGGCUGUGGCUGUGGCUGUCUCUGGUUUGUCUUUCUGGGAAACCUUGGCCAGGUUGGUGUGAGGGCAGGGCUAGCCUUGGACAUCUGCACUUCCCAUAGCAGCCUCUGGCCCAGAGCUCACCCGCUGUGGGCAGGUGAUCAGGUCCCACGGGUCCCCUCCUCUGCACCUGGAGCCUUGUGGGUGUAGAACAGAAAAAUAGGAGGGGGCAACCCAGAGGCCUCCUGCUCUCCAGGAAGGAAUGAAUGCUGGACAGGUCCAAGGUGGAGGCAGAGGGAGUGAGGGGCCCUUGGGGGAACAUCUGUCCUAGAGGGCUUGAUCUCCAGGCUGCCCACCCCACUCCUACCCCUAAUCUGGUGUUCCUCACCUGCCUCUGGGAAGUCCUCACCUGAGGUCUGCAGCGGGUGUGCCAAGCGCCGGCCCCACAUCACCUGCUCCCAGGCCUGCCCAGGGGAUGGGUCCUGUGGCCAGUGCCCUCGGGGUCAGCUUGACCCAGACCCAGCCCAGAACCUGUCCCAUGGCCCCAGGAGGACAGGAUGGUCAGGGAAGCCCAAGGGAUGAGCCCUUUUGUCCACAAGCUUCCCUCUGACAUGGGCAGGCUGCUUGUGCGACCCCACAGCCCCCACCUCUCAUGAACAGUGGGAAUGGGGCAGGCCCCUCGCUGCUGGGCUGGAUCCUCCCGCCCCUAAGCAGGUGCACUCUGUCCCCUUUGAGGAGAGACCAAGGGAUACAAGUGCUGGGUCCUGGCCGGGGUGCCCCUCCUCCCUGCCUGUGGGGGUCUCAUUACUGCCUCCUGCCCCCACCACAAACACCCCCUAGAGAGGCCUUCGGAGGCAGGUACUGAGCCCUGGGGCCAGGGUGCCAGGAGCCCAAUGGCAGGUGGUCUUGGGUGACUGCUGGCCCUGGGGCAAUGGUGAGAAAGCCAGGCAGGCAGCUGCAGGAAGGAGCUGAGGAGAAAGGCGGCAGAGCCUCAAAAGCUGCUGGUGGCCGGGCACAGUGGCUCACACCUGGAAUCCCAGCACUUUGGGAGGCCGAGGCGGGCGGAUCACGAGGUCAGGAGAUCGAGACCAUCCUGGCUAACACGGUGAAACCCCGUCUCUACU